GUCCUCGCGCGUUAUGCGAGGUCUGGCCUGCCCACUGAUUUAAUUGAAGGGCCGCGGUAUUCUAACCGUGCGAAGGUAGCAUAGUCAAUAGUCUCUUAAUUGGAGGCUUGAAUGAAUGGUCGGACAUGAAGAGAGCUGUCUCACAAUAUAAAAUUGAAUUUAACUUCUAUGUGAAAAGGCAUUGAUAGAUUAGAGGGACGAUAAGACCCUAUAAAACUUUACGGCUGAUUAUAAGGUCCCCUGAUAUACGAUUAAAGGGGGUCUCUAUUGGGUCGUUGCGCUGGGGCGGCGGGAAUAUAAUUUGUAGCUGUUCUUUAAAGUAGAAUAAUUAUAAUUAGAUUGUGACCCUGAAUUUUGGUUUGUAAGUGUCAGUUACUUUAGGGAUAACAGCGUUAUUUCUUCUGAGAGUUCAUAUCGAUGAAGACAUUUGCGACCUCGAUGUUGAAUUAAAGCUGUCUCCGGGAGUAGGAAUUCGGGGGAUAGGUCUGUUCGACCUUUAAAGCUUUACAUGAUUUGAGUUCAAACCGGUGUGAG
rnacentral:rRNA from 1 species